rnacentral:rRNA from 1 species
AAUCUUUGAACGCACCUUGCGCUCCUUGGUAUUCCGAGGAGCAUGCCUGUUUGAGUGUCAUUA